CCUACGGGAGGCAGCAGUGAGGAAUAUUGGUCAAUGGCCGGAAGGCUGAACCAGCCAAGCCGCGUGAAGGACGAAGGUGCCAAGCAUUGUAAACUUCUUUUGUCAAGGGACAAAAUCAGGCUCGAGAGCCUGACCGAGGGUACUUGAAGAAAAAGCAUCGGCUAACUCCGUGCCAGCAGCCGCGGUAAUACGGAGGAUGCGAGCGUUAUCCGGAUUUCUUGGGUUUAAAGGGUGCGUAGGCGGGCUGUUAAGUCAGCGGUAAAAGCCAGGGGCUCAACCCCGGCGAGCCGUUGAAAGUGGCUGUCUUGAGAUGUCGAGAGGUAUGCGGAAUGCGCAGUGUAGCGGUGAAAUGCUUAGAUAUUGCGCAGAACUCCGAUUGCGAAGGCAGCAUACCGGCGGCGAUCUGACGCUGAGGCACGAAAGCGUGGGUAUCGAACAGGAUUAGAUACCCGAGUAGUC
rnacentral:rRNA from 1 species